rnacentral:rRNA from 1 species
CACGUAGGGCGCGAGCGUUGUCCGGAAUUAUUGGGCGUAAAGGGCUCGUAGGCGGUCUGUCACGUCGAAAGUGAAAACUCAGGGCUUAACCCUGAGCCUGCUUCCGAUACGGGCAGACUAGAGGUAUGCAGGGGAGAAUGGAAUUCCUGGUGUAGCGGUGAAAUGCGCAGAUAUCAGGAGGAACACCAGUGGCGAAGGCGGUUCUCUGGGCAUUACCUGACGCUGAGGAGCGAAAGUGUGGGGAGCGAACAGG